rfam:Erinaceus europaeus unplaced genomic scaffold scaffold00042, whole genome shotgun sequence
UGAUGAGAGUGUGAUCUGGCUGUGACAUCUGUCACCGUAUUGAUCACCAGGAUUGAUUCUGCUGAUCUAGCUGGCUAGGCAGGUGUCUCCUUCCUCCCUCACUGCUUCAUGCUGCACACUUGGUCAAAGAGGAUGCCUUUCCUGAAUAGAGAAGACCAGUCUUUUGUAUAAUAGCAGCACUUCCAUACUAGAACCUCCAAACAAGAUCUCAAGGUCCAUGUGUAGGAGAAUGUAGGGUAGUCAAGCUUCCAAGACUGCAGAUACAUCCAAAUGAGGUUCUGCAUUUGACAGUCUGCCUUCCUGA